CCUACGGGUGGCUGCAGUAGGGAAUUUUCGGCAAUGGGCGAAAGCCUGACCGAGCGACGCCGCGUGAGGGACGAAGGCCUUCGGGUUGUAAACCUCUGUCUGGGGGGAUGAGAACGGACGGUACCCCCGGAGGAAGCCCCGGCUAACUACGUGCCAGCAGCCGCGGUAAUACGUAGGGGGCUAGCGUUGUCCGGAAUUACUGGGUGUAAAGGGCGUGUAGGCGGGGAUGCAAGUCAGAUGUGAAAUUCCGGGGCUCAACCCCGGCACUGCAUCUGAAACUGUGUCUCUUGAGUGCUGGAGAGGAAAGUGGAAUUCCUAGUGUAGCGGUGAAAUGCGUAGAGAUUAGGAGGAACACCAGUGGCGAAGGCGACUUUCUGGACAGUAACUGACGCUGAGGCGCGAGAGCGUGGGGAGCAAACAGGAUUAGAUACCCCAGUAGUC
rnacentral:rRNA from 1 species